UAACGUCAUGGGAGUUAACAGCGUUGAU
rnacentral:sRNA from 1 species